AUCUGUAACGAAUUUAUGUUACGACUAUGAUUUACGCAUGUCGUUGUAUUUGGUUCUUGUCUUGUGGAGUCCAGUGUCUGAUGUCAUAUAUGGUCUAGGUGUACGCGUGAGCAUGGUGUGAUGUGUGACGUUUAUGGUAUGUGGUGCAUGCAGGAGUACGCGUUGUCAGAGUGUGAGGAUGUGCUUCCGUCUGUGUGAGAGUGACUGUCAAGUGAAUGCAGUACAUGCGCAGUGCUAGUUUGGUCUGGGAAUGAGAGUCGUGUGUGAUUCGUCCGUGGUCUGGUUGUCUUGGUCUUGGUCAUGUGUUCUGUACGUAUUAGUCCCUGAUUGGUCGUCACGAUUUGUCCUCGGUUUAUUACUGCUUGUUCUUUGUUGGUCCUCUGAGGCUUUUCCCGGGAGUCUUUCCCGUCGUCGUUUUCUGUCUAGUCUUUUCGUCUUUCGCCUCCUGUGCCCUUUCCGUUUGUAUAAGAAGUCAGAAACUCCACCAAGUUGUUUGAGCUGUUGUGUGACAGGGGCCAGGGGGAGAAGGCAAUACCAUUUCAUUUACAUUGGCGCCCAACGUUCGCUCGACGCAGGGUACUACCUCUGCAGCCCACGACCCUGGGAUCGUUUUGUUUUCACCGUGGCUUCAGUUCGUGCUCGCCGUUUCGAAAUAUAUUUUAUUUCUCGUCGUUCAACUCACUUCACCGAGAUUGCUACUACGGCCAUGGAGAUGGAAAGGCGUUCGCCAGCCUGGCCUGCAGGCCCCUUACCCGUCGUACGACGCACCACCUCGUGGAACCACACCCAAGGUUUUCCCAUCUCCACGUCUGCAGCCAGCCACUUGCCGUUGUCCUGUCUUCUUCUCCUGUUAUUGUGUCUUCUCAACCCUUUUGUUUUCCUCCUACUCCAUUUUUCUACUUCUGAGAGUCGAGGUCGACUCUCGCCGGAGGGGAAGGCUGUGUAACGAAUUUAUGUUACGACUAUGAUUUACGCAUGUCGUUGUA